UACGAAGGGGGCUAGCGUUGUUCGGAUUUACUGGGCGUAAAGCGCACGUAGGCGGAUCGAUCAGUCAGGGGUGAAAUCCCAGGGCUCAACCCUGGAACUGCCUUUGAUACUGUCGAUCUGGAGUAUGGAAGAGGUGAGUGGAAUUCCGAGUGUAGAGGUGAAAUUCGUAGAUAUUCGGAGGAACACCAGUGGCGAAGGCGGCUCACUGGUCCAUUACUGACGCUGAGGAGCGAAAGCCAGGGGAGCAAACGGG
rnacentral:rRNA from 1 species